UACGUAGGGUGCGAGCGUUAGUCGGAAUUACUGGGCGUAAAGCGUGCGCAGGCGGCUUUGCAAGACAGAUGUGAAAUCCCCGGGCUCAACCUGGGAACUGCAUUUGUGACUGCAAGGCUAGAGUACGGCAGAGGGGGAUGGAAUUCCGCGUGUAGCAGUGAAAUGCGUAGAUAUGCGGAGGAACACCGAUGGCGAAGGCAAUCCCCUGGGCCUGUACUGACGCUCAUGCACGAAAGCGUGGGGAGCAAACAGG
rnacentral:rRNA from 1 species